ACGUAAGCAUCCUGUGUGAGGCGAGAGUGACUCAGAGGGAGGGCCUGGAGAACAGCUCCCAGCAGCCCACACAUGGUGACUGCGUGAGCGGCCUGUGGCCACCACAAUAGUUACCACAAAUUGGGUGGCAAAAGACAAGAGAAAUGUAUUCCCCCCAGUUCUGGGGGCCAGAAGUCUGAAGUCAAGUCAUCCGCAGAGCCCUGCUCCCUCUGAAGCCUCCAGCGGGGAUCCUUCCUGCCUCUUCCAACUCCUGGUGGCCCCAGGCAUUCCCUGGCUUGUGGAUGCAUCACUCCCAUCUCUGCUUCCGUUUUCAUGUGGCCUCUCCUCUAUGUGUGUCUGUGUCUUCUCUUCUGCUUCUUAUGAGGACACCUGUCAUCGGCUUUACAACCCACCGGACACAAUUCACCCCACUGCAGUGACCACAGCCGGAUCAGACUCGUUCACCCACUUCAGUGACCACAGAUGGAUCAGACUCGUUCGCUCCCUGCAGUGACCACGGCCGGAUCAGACUUGUUCCCUACAAAGGGGAUUUCUCAUGAGAGCCAGUCACACGAGGGCAGAGACUUUGGUUAUCCUCGCCCUGGUAGCUUCAGCAUCUGCGCUGCAUGUGGUAGGAGGCUUGAUCACUUCUGAACAAACACACCAAUGAGUAAAUGAACGAGCGGCCUCACAGAGCAGCGAUGGGGACUUUCUGAUGAAGACCAGGUUUUCAGACGGCGGGAGGCCUUGGCUUUGAGGUGUCAGUGGGUGCAAUGGUUAAUAUGGCACUGAUUUUAGCGAGUGCCGACUGCGCAAUGCCAUAUCUUUUAAAGGGCACUAUAGAAUCCCAGAGUUAUUGAGUAGGAAGGAAGCCUGGACACUCCUCAGUCCAACUUCCUCACCUGCAAGGUGACAAAACUGAAGCCAGAGAGGAGGAAGGAUUCACCCAGGUCCCCCAGAGUCAGCAGCUAAGGAGAGUAUAGAAACCAGGCUUCUGACUUCCCAGCCAGUGCUCCACUGAGACCCAGCUCCCCUCCCUCUAUCAUCAUCUCCAUCAUCCUAAUCUCAGCCACGACUCCCAUGACCUUGGACUCUUCCUGCUUGGCUCUAUGUUCAGCAUCUCACAUACAUCAACUCAUUUAAUUCUCUCAACAACCCAGUGCUUUACAUAGAAUCCUUAUCUCCAUUCUACAGGUGGCACAACUGAGGCUCUCAGAUAAUUUCCCAAAGGUCUGACAGCUAGAAAAUCAUGUAAUCUGAUGCUUAAGCCAGUGCUCCAAGCCAGAGGUGAGCAAACCAUAGUCUGUAGGACAAAUCUGGCCCAUCACCUGUGACCACAGCCAGAUUCUGCCACAAAAACAGGAGAAUUCUCCGAGAACACAUCCAGUUUAAUUACAGCACAGUCACACUCGUUAUUCAAAGCAUCAUCUCCGGCUUUCUUCCCUGCUGCAAUGGCAAAGCUGAGUAAUUGAGAGAGACAGUAGGAACUGAACAGCCUGAAAUACUUGUCAUCUGGCCCUUCAUGUAAAUGUCUCCUGAACUCUGCUCUAUGCUGCCGAUACUAUAUUAUCUAUUCUAUUCAGUGUAUAUGUUAUCAUUUAUAUCAAACGUUUAAGGGCUUUGUAUCUAUAAUUUGAGAAAUGUUUACAUUUGAUUCUCAAAUGAAACCCACCAACAAUUAAUUUACAAGGAAACAGGUACUUCUUGAACAUGAUGGCCUUCCCCACUGUGUUUCUAUUUUCACAGGGAUGUUUUCAGACUCGAUGAUCCCAAAAGUGAUCCCAUUAGAAGAAGAAGGAAAAAAAAAUAAAAAAGAAAGAAACAACCUCCGCCCCUGCAACCUCUUAAACGGCCCACAACAUCUGAAUCGGAAGGUCCGUUCAUGCUGAUUUUCUACGUGUCAGGAAUUUCAUGCCAAAAAGCGACUCUUCUACAUUAAUAACGCAUCUCCCCAUCCAAGACAGGAAAUAACAUUACAAAAGCCGGAAAGGACAUCAAACGCGCUGGCUUGGCAGCCACAUGUAUAUGUGAAAUUACUGUCAGAGUUCAAAGGCAGGGCUGAGACAUGGAGGGUGCGUGCGGCAGUGUUACCCCAUGAUGCUUUUACCUCGUGGGAAUAAGCACAGUGGCAGGUUACUGUGACCUGGCCACUGGCUUCCUGAUACCCACAUUGAUUCUGGCACGUGGGACUGCAGGGCUGGAUUUGGGUGGGCUUUGCAGCUCCCCAUACAUCCUACCCCAGCUCAAGAGCCUCACACGUAAAGCAACCUUUCCAGGUUUGGGCAGCCCGGACCAGUGCCUGCACCCAGGGCUGGCCAAUGCUGCAGAGCUGGCUCUUACUGAGCACUGCACUAAUUAUUAAAGCAUUGCCUCAGGACUCUUGCACAACCUUGAGAAGUAGGAGCUAUCAUGCCCCCUAAUUCAUGGAUGGGGAAUUGAAGAUGAAUUGAGGUUACUUGAUGUGCCCAUUGCAUGGAGGAAGUGGAGGAACCAAGGUUCAAGCCCAAAGAUUCCAUCACUCACAACUACCAGGCUUCACUGCUUCAAUGUGGAAGCUUCCUUGGGAGAUGCAGCCAACCACGCCCAGGCAAGGUUGGACCUGAAGGUGUGAAGAGCUCACCUUUCUGGUUAAGGCAAGUCACUGAGCCCCAUUUGGAGAUGGAGUUUGCAUCAAUCUUCAUGGCAAGAGGGAUCAUGACAUGAAUGAGAGGGCAGCAAUUUGACCAAAGGCUCUUCUAGCUAGACAGGUAACUUGGUUUAUCCUCCUGACUCAUUAAACUGCCUGGUGAACUCCUAUGCAUUCUUCAAAACCCAGUUUAAACAUUCCUUUCACCAUGAAGAUUUCCUUGCCCCAUAAAAAGUCAAUCAACUCUUUCUUUGGGCCCCUGAAGUGUAUGUGUUGUGAGUGCUUCUGUCUUGACACAGACUGCUUUGCCUUGAAUGUGUGCAGCUCGCUGUCUGUAUAGUACAUUCAUCAAGGACAGGAAUUGUGUUCAAUGUGCCUGUGGACACCAGCUUGGAUUAACAGGAACAACGCUAGUAACACCCAGCGCUAGUUAAUCACGUACUCUGUGCUGCGCACUCCUCUAACGGGGUCAUGGGCUCUAAUCCUUAAAACACCGUAGGAGGCUGCUGUGAUUAUUAUUCCCAAUGGCGAGGCGUGUAGGCUCUGAAGCCAGGCCACCUGGGUUUGAACCCUGGCUCUGCCUGUGACCUUGAGUGAGUUACUCAGCCUCUCUGUGUCUCGGGAUUCUCAGUGACAUAGGGAUCAUCACAGCAGUCACCCAGUGAGGGCUGGAGCCAACUCCGGCAAGAGCUAACUAUUAAAGCUUAAAGAAUUUUGCCAUCGUUAAACAUUACAUUAUGCACACUUAGAGUGGAGUAAACUAUAUUUAAAACAAACGUAAUAAACACUCAAAAGUCAUCACUUCCUAAUUAUUUCCCCACAUUUUACUUUCCUCCCUGCCCUUAAGGAUACUCACGUUUCCACUUUGGUGGAAAUACGGAAUAACGAUGAGCUUGCACACUGCUUCCCAACUUUAUGUUCAAUGGCCUCACACUGGUUGAAAUGAGACGUAAGGAGGGGAUUUACACCAUGGAGACUGGCAAACGCUAUAACUCAGGGUUUUUUUAACCUUGGAAAACCACUUGUUAAGCAUUCCCCAGCACAGCGAUGUAACCACCUUAUAGCAAGCACACAGUAAGCUGUCAAUAUGCAUUAGCUACUAUUGCUAUUACUACGAAGAAGACAGAGCUUAAAUCACUCACCCAGGUUAUGAAAGAUCCAGGUAUGACCCCAGACAUGACAGCUCCCUAUCCCUUAACCAGCUUGAACUCAAGGCAGACCACAGAGGAGUGGCCAAGAAAUGUAUUUGGUUGAAUAAACAAACAUUGAAUUAGUAGAUCUCAAAUCUGCUGGCCGCAGAAGUGCCUGGGGAGCUUUGUAUGGACACAGAUUCCCACAGUAUCCCUUGUGGUAGGCUCCAGAGUGUGCAUUAGAGCGAGUGCGUCGGGUUCUGAUUCUGUCCCUCCCCAUAGCCCAGCCCCAUCCCUGUCUUGCUUGUUGCCCGCUUGUGACCCAUCUUCCACAUCUGCCUUCCUGCAUCCCUACGGGGGUGAGUGGGAACUGUGAGGUGGAGAACCGCAUAGGGCAGGGGCCCCUCUGUGCACAGGCCUUAACCAAGAGAGGGCUUGAAGACUGAACACCGUUGCAGGCAAAUUAGAAGAAAACCUGCCUCCUCCAGCAGACACUGACCGUGGUGUAUAGGCAGCCAAGAGAGGCCGCAGCUUACCUGGGCUCAGAGGCCUGCAUAUAUCUGAGUCCACGGUAACAAAAAACAGGCUGUGAGCGUGCACUGCACUUGCAAAUUCACAAAAUGCUGCCACAUUCCUUCUCCUUUCAUCUCACGAUAACCCCAUGAGAUCAGCAAUGGAUGCAUAAAAAUAAUCCCCCGUUUACAGAUGAGGAAACAUGUGACUCAUAUAGCUCAGAGCUGCUCAUGCCUGGAGCCUCAGGCUUCAAAGCUGUGUUUUUCCUUCAAAAGUGGGUGUGAGGGAGAGAAGUGGAGAAGAUGGGGGCCGGAGUCCCGGAAAGUCAACGUUUAUGCAUUAUGUUGGCUUUGCUACCCACUAGCUGUGUGACCCUGGAAAAGCUUCUUAAUUUCUCUGUGCCUUAAGUUUGCACCUUUGAAAAACCUAAGAAAAUGAUUGGCAGCCUCCUCUUAUGGUUGUGGUGAAUUAAUAGAUGUAAAAAUGCCUCUUAGAAUGUUGCACUGGGUGGGGUUCAAUAAUGGAAUAGACAGGAACCACAGCAACAGCUAUAAUGAUAUUGUUGCCUUUAUAUAUCUUGUGGCAUUUCCGGGCUAUUAUUUUUAAAAGGCAGGCUAUUGAGCUAUCUGGGAUAGAUCAAGUGACGGAUACGUAGAUGGGAAGUCAAGGAGCUCUAGACUGGAAGUUGGGGACCAUGGAUUGAAGACCUCAUCCAGUCAACAGGUAUUUCCUGGACACAUACGAUGUGUCCAGUCCUCUGAAGGUCCCCUCUGACAAAGUGGCUGCAUGGAGCAAUAGCUACGACUGUGACCCCAGGGCCACACAGACAGGGUCUAUGUCUGCAGCUGAUGGGCUCACGGCCUUGCUCUAGUCCCUUAUCUCCCUGCAUCUGUCGUCCCGUCUGUAAAAUAGAAUGAAUCAGAAAAUAAACAGCAUCUCUCUGACUCAGUGGCUGCAUGGAGCAAUAGGUAAGAGUGUGACCCCAGGGCCACACAGACAGGGUCUACAUCUGCAACUGAUGGGCUCACAGCCUUGCUCUAGCCCCUUGUCUAUCUGUAUCUGUCAUCCAAUCUGUAAAACAGAAUGAAUCAG
rnacentral:lncRNA from 10 species